GAUGAACGCUGGCGGCGUGCCUAAUACAUGCAAGUCGAGCGAACAGACGAGGAGCUUGCUCCUCUGACGUUAGCGGCGGACGGGUGAGUAACACGUGGAUAACCUACCUAUAAGACUGGGAUAACUUCGGGAAACCGGAGCUAAUACCGGAUAAUAUAUUGAACCGCAUGGUUCAAUAGUGAAAGACGGUUUUGCUGUCACUUAUAGAUGGAUCCGCGCCGCAUUAGCUAGUUGGUAAGGUAACGGCUUACCAAGGCGACGAUGCGUAGCCGACCUGAGAGGGUGAUCGGCCACAAUGGAACCGAGAAACGGUCCAGACUCCUAAGGGAGGGAGCAGUAGGGAAUCUUCCGCCAUGGGCGAAAGCCUGACGGAGCAAACCCGCGUGAGUGAUGAAGGUUUUCGGAUCGUAAAAAUCUGUUAUUAGGGAAGAAAAAAUGUGGAAGUAAAUAUGGCAGUCUUGAAGGUAACUAAUCAGAAAGCCACGGCUAACUACGUG
rnacentral:rRNA from 1 species